AUUGAACGCUGGCGGCAUGCUUUACACAUGCAAGUCGAACGGUAACAGGCCGCAAGGUGCUGACGAGUGGCGAACGGGUGAGUAAUGCAUCGGAACGUGCCCAGUCGUGGGGGAUAACGCAGCGAAAGCUGUGCUAAUACCGCAUACGAUCUAUGGAUGAAAGCGGGGGACCGUAAGGCCUCGCGCGAUUGGAGCGGCCGAUGUCAGAUUAGGUAGUUGGUGGGGUAAAGGCCUACCAAGCCGACGAUCUGUAGCUGGUCUGAGAGGACGACCAGCCACACGGGGCCUGAGACACGGCCCAGACUCCUACGGGAGGCAGCAGUGGGGAAUUUUGGACAAUGGGCGCAAGCCUGAUCCAGCAAUGCCGCGUGCAGGAAGAAGGCCUUCGGGUUGUAAACUGCUUUUGUACGGAACGAAACGGUCUGGGUUAAUACCCUGGGCUAAUGACGGUACCGUAAGAAUAAGCACCGGCUAACUACGUGCCAGCCGCCGCCGUAAUAC
rnacentral:rRNA from 1 species